rnacentral:lncRNA from 1 species
AACACGCACACACAUUUGAAUUUACUGGUCUAGAAUUGGGAUGGGCAACUGGCGGCCAAAGGCCCCCCUUUUAUAGGCUCGUGGAUACAUUUCUGAAGGCAAAAAAAAGUAUAUUGAGAGUGUAAUUUCAAAAUUUGGUUGUGCAUCAGAAGUCACUAACAGUCACUUAAUUAGCAUGUCAGCAAACAUUGUUUAGAUUGGUAUGUUAGUCUAGCAGCCACCUAUCUAAACUUGUAGAAAUCAUGGUCGAUUUACCGACCGGGGGGCCCCCAUUGAUUUUAUUAGUCACUCUCAGUCAGAUAUCAUAUUAAAAACAGUUAUCUCUGCCCCAUGGCAAAAUGGGCAGGAAAUUUGUUAUAAAAUUGCAAAAUCUUCUCUCCGACCCCACGGCAAAAUGUGUAGAAUGGAUGGGGGCAGACAAACUAAAUUUCGCUUAGGCCCCCGAAAAGGCUAGGGCCGGCUGUAUGUGUGGGUAAGGAUGUGGGUACGCAGAACUGCGAGCAACUGACGCCUCCCAUGAUGAGUUUAGAUUUUUUUUAUAGCCCCCACCCCCAUAAAAGUUGCCCGUCACUGGUCUAGAAUGUAUCUUUUACCUCGUGCAGUGUGGAAAGUUGUGCCACUGAAUGGUUUAGAGCUUGCACUAUCGGUACAGUAGAUCAGAAAGCGGUUUCUUAAAACAGUGAAACUGGUCACCCAAAUCUUUCUUGUGUGUAAACAGCACAGACCCAACUCUUUCUUGUGUGUAAACAGCACAGACCCAAAUCUUUCUUGUGUCUAAACAGCACAGACCCAAAUCUUUCUUGUGUGUAAACAGCACAGACCCAAAUCUUGCCUGGAGAACCUCAUUGCUGAACUGCCUGACCUUUUACUACUGCAAACAUACCCUAUCUCCAUUUCUAGGAGAAGAUACAUUUUAAAUGGCUGAAACUAUUGGUGUCUUUUCAGACUGAAAAUGGGGGGUCUUCAAUCAAGCCAGAGAGAAGGCCUCGUACAGCAUCAAACCCAAACAGUCUUCUGGAAUAAAAGCCAAACUGGGUCAGUAGAUCUGAGCCAAUGGACUGGUCUUAUCCAGGAUAAGUUUGCACAAGUGAGAUCAACACAAGCUUUUUAGCUAUUGUAUUGUGUUUAAAAAUAUAUUUACUGUGUUAUUUUCUUUUUUAAUUGUUUCUUUCAGUCACCUAACUGAGUAUAUGUAUGCCUGACAGGUUGUCACCUUGUUGGAAAGUGUGAUAUUAACACAGUACCACACUUUGCCGUAAUCUGUCAAUGAUAAAUUUCCCCUAGUUUCAAACAGCGCAUUCUGCUGUCCAAAGUAAGAAUGUAGAUUUAAUUAAAGAGCUAAUAAUUUUUGGACAGGUGCCAUUGUAAAGAGAAAU